rnacentral:rRNA from 1 species
UGAUGCCCAGCUUGCUGGGUGGAUUAGUGGCGAACGGGUGAGUAACACGUGAGUAACCUGCCCCUGACUCUGGGAUAAGCGUUGGAAACGACGUCUAAUACUGGAUAUGACUGCCGGCCGCAUGGUCUGGUGGUGGAAAGAUUUUUUGGUUGGGGAUGGACUCGCGGCCUAUCAGCUUGUUGGUGAGGUAAUGGCUCACCAAGGCGACGACGGGUAGCCGGCCUGAGAGGGUGACCGGCCACACUGGGACUGAGACACGGCCCAGACUCCUACGGGAGGCAGCAGUGGGGAAUAUUGCACAAUGGGCGAAAGCCUGAUGCAGCAACGCCGCGUGAGGGAUGACGGCCUUCGGGUUGUAAACCUCUUUUAGUAGGGAAGAAGCGAAAGUGACGGUACCUGCAGAAAAAGCACCGGCUAACUACGUGCCAGCAGCCGCGGUAAUACGUAGGGUGCAAGCGUUGUCCGGAAUUAUUGGGCGUAAAGAGCUCGUAGGCGGUUUGUCGCGUCUGCUGUGAAAUCCCGAGGCUCAACCUCGGGCUUGCAGUGGGUACGGGCAGACUAGAGUGCGGUAGGGGAGAUUGGAAUUCCUGGUGUAGCGGUGGAAUGCGCAGAUAUCAGGAGGAACACCGAUGGCGAAGGCAGAUCUCUGGGCCGUAACUGACGCUGAGGAGCGAAAGCGUGGGGAGCGAACAGGAUUAGAUACCCUGGUAGUCCACGCCGUAAACGUUGGGCGCUAGAUGUAGGGACCUUUCCACGGUUUCUGUGUCGUAGCUAACGCAUUAA